rnacentral:rRNA from 1 species
UACGUAGGUGGCGAGCGUUGUCCGGAUUUACUGGGCGUAAAGGGAGCGUAGGCGGAUUUUUAAGUGAGAUGUGAAAUACUCGGGCUCAACUUGAGUGCUGCAUUUCAAACUGGAAGUCUAGAGUGCAGGAGAGGAGAAUGGAAUUCCUAGUGUAGCGGUGAAAUGCGUAGAGAUUAGGAAGAACACCAGUGGCGAAGGCGAUUCUCUGGACUGUAACUGACGCUGAGACUCGAAAGCGUGGGGAGCAAACAGG